UCUAGACCGAUAACCCCCGUUAAACCUCACCUUCUCUUGUUUUAUCUGGCUAAAUACCACCGUCGUCAGCUUACCCUGUGAAGGCUUUACAGUAAGCAAAAUUGGCACAGCCCAA
rnacentral:rRNA from 1 species